CCUACGGGAGGCUGCAGUGGGGAAUAUUGGGCAAUGGGCGCAAGCCUGACGCAGCAACGCCGCGUGAAGGAAGAAGGCUCUCGGGUUGUAAACUUCUUUUAUCAGGGACGAAGCAAGUGACGGUACCUGAUGAAUAAGCCACGGCUAACUACGUGACAACAGCCGCGGUAAUACGUAGGUGGCAAGCGUUAUCCGGAUUUACUGGGUGUAAAGGGCGUGUAGGCGGGAAAGCAAGUCGGAUGUGAAAACCAUGGGCUCAACCUGUGGCCUGCAUUUGAAACUGUUUUGCUUGAGUACUGGAGAGGCGGACGGAAUUCCUAGUGUAGCGGUGAAAUGCGUAGAGAUUAGGAGGAAUACCAGUGGCGAAGGCGGUCUGCUGGACAGCGACUGACGCUGAGGUGCGAAAGCGUGGGGAGCAAACAGGAUUAGAUACCCGGGUAGUC
rnacentral:rRNA from 1 species